rnacentral:lncRNA from 1 species
GUUAUUGGUUGUGUGGGCUAAAAGCUGUUUCUUCGGACUCCGGUGAGCUUCAAGGAAGAAACAAUGGCAAAGCAUUCGCCGGCGACUCCAUCGUUGACGUGAACUGUGCUUAUGUCCUUGUUCUCGAGAUUAUGGAGACUACUUCAUCACAAGCUUACGCUAGUUCUUGAUAGAAAAAAAAAAAGAGGAAACCUUCUCUACAAGCGUGUAAAGGAUAUAAUAUUAUACUUCCUACAGAAGUCUCAUCAACAUUGAAGUUUGGUAACAGCUGCAUGCUACUUUUUUCAUCAUAUAAUGCCGCAAAACUAACUUGUUCAUAUGUGUAGUUCUGUCAUCACAUUGGGUUGAUGAUAUCAACUGUAAUGGCUUUUAGGAUCUACUGUUAUUGUUAGUAUUGUUUUCUCUCCAAUGAAGGAGCUUAAUGUAGUUGUUUGGAUUCCUCUUUGUGGAUUGAGGAUGAGGAUGCGGACUCACUAAAAUUCCUUGACAAGGGAAACUUCAAGUCAAGACACACACCAUCGCGAUGCUACAUCGUGAUUCCUUUUGCUGAAGGAUCAAGAGUUGAAGUGAUACAAAAGGAAUUCUUCUUUUUCUGUAGAUAUCUCAUAGUGGAAUGAACAACACUUUUUCGAAGGUUCUUAUUGGGGUUGAUAUGCACACAGUGUUGAUAUCUCCAGUAAGCAGCUGAUAGAAUUUGGAUAACUUGAGCCACCCCUGAAUUCAGUCACCAUGGAUGAUGGAUACAAGCUCAUGAUGCAUCAUGUUCUAUUUAUCUUUUUUGGUAGGUAAUUGAGUAUCCUUAUGCACGAAGAUAAUCAAUUUGCUAGUUGUGUUCAAACUCUAUUAUGGUUUUCUUUUACCGCAUUCUCUAUAGGACUCUCUUAUCUUAUCCUUCUCUGAGCUCACUUCUGAAAUUUCUUCGUGGUGGCUCCCUUACAUGUCUCUUUUUAGAGGGAACCUCAAUUUCUAACCCUUACAAGCCUUCUGUAUUCUGAUUCCAAAUUGCCUUGUAUCUACAGUCUUAUUUCUUGGACCAAAGAUGUAAGCCUAGAUAUUGGUGGCUCUUCAUAUUAUUGCUUCUUUUUGUCUGAUAAAGUGAUAAAUUGUCUGUCUAAAUCUAGCAAAGCAUAGCUGGUCCCAAAUCCACAUAAAGGAGGGUCACUCAUACAAAACAAAAAAAAUGAGAGGAAAUUUUGGUAAGUUUAGGUUGAAAAUUUUCUAAAGAUUUUCGUAGCUAGAGGAAAAGAAAGCAAUAUCGAUUCAUGUUAUAGUGAGGGAGGGGCGAAGUGUGAACUAUCUAAACUAAUGAAAACAGAGCUAGUGUGAGAGUAAUACAAAGUGUCGUGAAUGAUUCAGUAUAGUCGAUUUCAACUGGUUUGAAUUGAAUUACAUACAUAUGUAAGUUUCUAUGUUGUAC